rnacentral:piRNA from 1 species
GGACAGGAGUCGAAGGACUAGAAU